UCAGCUUAGUAAGUAUUUUCA
rnacentral:piRNA from 1 species